rnacentral:tRNA from 1 species
GGCGCUGUGGCGGAGUGGUUACGCAGCGGUCUGCAAAACCGCGUACACGGGUUCGAAUCCCGUCGGUGCCUCCA